GUAAUUUCAUUUUUUUUUUAAUUUUUCAUAAAUGUACUUAAUUAUUCUAUUUUAAAAAUGUCAAAAAUUUCCCAAAAAUUCCCCCAAUAACCCACAGGAUUACAGAAAAUCCCCUGACCACAAAAAUCUCCCUUUUUCCCAAGGCAUCCAACUUGCGGGGAAAGCAUGCAGAAAUUCUCCAACGCGCAAGGUUAGCCGCGCGGACUCACAGGCUCCGUUUCUACCUCUCACAGGCACGUAAUCGUGGGACACGCAGGAUCUCUUUUCCCUCGCCCGUGAGACAACUCCACACGAGAGAUAGCUUCUACCCGUGUGUCCUAGCACCUGCAAAUGCCUGCACGUGAGCCAUCAAGGAGCUUCAACACUUUUGUGCCACAUGUCCUAGAAUGACCGAAACAGUGCCUACACCAAUCGGACACCCACUGUAUCAACAGCCCAAGAUCCGUGCAUGUCAUCCGACAGCCGUGAUUCCUUCUCUUUUCACGCUUAAAGGAGCUUUUCUUCGGUCUCCCUUCAUUUUCGAACAGAAAAUUGAAACAAGAGAGAGAGAGAGAGAGAGAGAGAGAGAGAGAGAGAGAGCUUCUGUAAGAUAAAAAGUGUGCCUGAGUGUGCGAGUGAAAUGAAACAGUGAGAG
rnacentral:lncRNA from 1 species